rnacentral:lncRNA from 1 species
CUUUUGGCCGUUCCAGGUCUAAUUUCUUGCUAGAAGCGGAUUUAUUUCUGUUGUGGAGCUCUCGCAACGCAGAGAUUCUUGUUCUGUCUAGGCGUGGAAUGGCUUGGCGUGUUCUAGGAGGACUUGGAUCUUGUAAACUGUCAAGGAGAUUCUGUUGCUGCUGCUGCUGCUGCUGAACUCAAAGUCCGCAGAGAGCUCUCACACUGUAUGUGUACAGGUGCCAAGCCUGAACACAUGUCUGCUGUUCACUGUACGAGGCAAGCUGGAGCCUGAGGGAAGUACAUCCGGGGGAGGCUGCUGUUAAAAGCCUGCGUAGCUCCAUUUCACGUUGAUCUUGCUGAAGCUUUAGCAAACGUCUUCUUGCAGCAUCCUAUUUCCACAACAGUAGACUGCACCUGUCCCUGCUGGGUCAUGUGACCUGCACCUGUGUCCCUGCUGGACCAUGUGACCUGCACCUGUGUCUCUGCUGGACCAUGUGAACUGCACCUGUGUCUCUGCUGGACCAUGUGAACUGCACCUGUGUCUCUGCUGGACCAUGUGACCUGCACCUGUGUCUCUGAUGGGUCAUGUGACCUGCACCUGUGUCUCUGAUGGGUCAUGUGGACUGCACCUGUGUCUCUGAUGGGUCAUGUGAACUGCACCUGUGUCUCUGCUGGGCCAUCUUCUCCUCCUCUUGAAGAAGCAUCUCUCUUCUUGUCUCCUCAGCUCUACGGAGCAUCUCUUGCUUCUGGUACCACGCCUCAUCCUUAGCUCUCUGCUCAUCCACUUCAGCUUGCAUAUUUUCAACUGUCUGCCUUAAGUAGACACAAUGUUUACUAUUAUGAAAAUGCAAACAAGAUACAAAAUCUAGAACCUGGUGAAAGCUCAAUAUGUGACUUUAUUUCCAGAUAAUCUUUAAAGACAUCAGCUGCCUUCAAAUUUA